UACGGAGGGUGCGAGCGUUGUCCGGAAUCACUGGGCGUAAAGGGCGCGUAGGUGGCCUGAUAAGGGAGUGGUGAAAGUCCGGGGCUCAACCCCGGAUCUGCCGUGCAGACUGUUGGGCUGGAGUACUGUAGGGGCAGGCGGAAUUCCGGGUGUAGCGGUGGAAUGCGUAGAGAUCCGGAGGAACACCAGUGGCGAAGGCGACUUUCUGGUCUGUAACUGGCACUGAGGCGCGAAAGCGUGGGGAGCAAACAGG
rnacentral:rRNA from 1 species